rnacentral:tRNA from 1 species
GGGCACGUAGCUCAGUCCGGAAAGAGCGUCGGACUUCUAUCACCCGCAGUCAACUGCCGGUGGAAGCCAUCCGACGGUCGUGGGUUCAAAUCCCACCGUGCCCG